rnacentral:rRNA from 1 species
UACGGAGGGGCUAGCGUUGUUCGGAAUUACUGGGCGUAAAGCGCGCGUAGGCGGACCUGCAAGUCGGGGGUGAAAGCCCGAGGCUCAACCUCGGAACUGCCUUCGAUACUGCGGGUCUCGAGUCCGGGAGAGGUGAGUGGAAUUCCUAGUGUAGAGUGAAAUUCGUAGGAUAUUAGGAAGAACACCAGUGGCGAAGGCGGCUCACUGGCCCGGUACUGACGCUGAGGCGCGAAAGCGUGGGGAGCAAACAGG